rnacentral:rRNA from 1 species
UUUAAUGGCCGCGGUAUUUUGACCGUGCUAAGGUAGCAUAAUCAUUAGUUUUUUUAUUGAAAGCUGGAAUGAAGGGUUGGAUGAAAAAAUAACUGUCUUAUAUUUAAUUAUUAUAGAAUUUUAUUUUUAAGUUAAAAAGCUUAAAUUUUUUUAAAAGACGAGAAGACCCUAUAGAGUUUUAUUAUUAAUAAAAAAUAUUUUUUUGGUAAUAAUUUUUUAUUUUUAUUUAAUUAUUUGAUUGGGGUGAUUAAAAAAUUUAUUAAACUUUUUUAUAUAAUUAUAUUUAUGUAUAGGUUAUUGAUCCAUUAUUUUUGAUUAAAAGAAAAAAUUACCUUAGGGAUAACAGCGUAAUUUUAUUGGAGAGUU